AUUGAACGCUGGCGGAAUGCUUUACACAUGCAAGUCGAACGGCAGCACGGGGGCAACCCUGGUGGCGAGUGGCGAACGGGUGAGUAAUACAUCGGAACGUGCCCGGUCGUGGGGGAUGACGUAGCGAAAGUUACGCUAAUACCGCAUACGAUCUGAGGAUGAAAGCGGGGGACCUUCGGGCCUCGCGCGAUCGGAGCGGCCGAUGUCAGAUUAGGUAGUUGGUGGGGUAAAGGCCCACCAAGCCGACGAUCUGUAGCUGGUCUGAGAGGACGACCAGCCACACUGGGACUGAGACACGGCCCAGACUCCUACGGGAGGCAGCAGUGGGGAAUUUUGGACAAUGGGCGCAAGCCUGAUCCAGCCAUUCCGCGUGCAGGACGAAGGCCUUCGGGUUGUAAACUGCUUUUGUAUGGAACGAAAAGGCUCUGGCUAAUACCUGGGGCUCAUGACGGUACCGUAAGAAUAAGCACCGGCUAACUACGUG
rnacentral:rRNA from 1 species